UUUGCACCAUGACGGUGAAGAUGAUUCAUCUAUUUGCCCUCCCAGAGACGGCUACAUAAUGCACACUUACACUCGCGGAGAGCGUCAUUAUGAGUGGUCACAAUGCAGCAAAACUAUGAUUAAGAAAUUUCUGCGGUCGCCUAAAUCAGCCUGCUUGCACUCUGUGAAAAGCCACAACGUUUCUUUGCUGCCGAACGACCGUCUCAAUCUGACAUCGGUUAUCAAUGGAACAGAUUACUGCAACAAGUAUUUUCCGAACUUCUAUAACGUCACUCAUCAAAAGACAAUAGAAAACUGCAUCUUUCGCUGCGAAUUAAGAGAUUCCUCAAAGAAAGCGAAAGCGCCAUGGACGGCGGAUAUAUUUGCACCGGAUGGGACGACUUGUGGUCGGAGAAACUCCAGAAAGAAAUGUAAGCACGGCAUGUGCAUGAGAGCAAGUUAAUAAAUAAAAAAAAAUGUUUCCUGG